CGUAGGUGGCGAGCGUUGUCCGGAUUUAUUGGGUUUAAAGGGUGCGUAGGCGGUCCUAUAAGUCAGUGCUGAAAUAUCCCGGCUUAACCGGGAGGGUGGCAUUGAUACUGCAGGACUUGAGUAAAGUUGAGGUUGGCGGAAUUGACGGUGUAGCGGUGAACUGCUUAGAUAUCGUCAAGAACACCGAUAGUGUAGACAGCUAACUAAGCUUUAACUGACGCUGAGGCACGAAAGUGUGGGGAUCAAACAGGAUUAGAUACCCUGGUAGUCCACACUGUAAACGUUGAUUACUCGAUGUUGGCGAUACACUGUCAGCGUCUUAGCGAAAGCGAUAAGUAAUCCACCUGGGGAGUACGCCGGCAACGGUG
rnacentral:rRNA from 1 species